rnacentral:rRNA from 1 species
CCUACGGGCAGCAGUGGGGAAUAUUGGACAAUGGGGGCAACCCUGAUCCAGCCAUGCCGCGUGUGUGAAGAAGGCCCUCGGGUUGUAAAGCACUUUCAGUGAGGAAGAACGCCUGGUGGUUAAUACCCAUCAGGAAAGACAUCACUCACAGAAGAAGCACCGGCUAACUCCGUGCCAGCAGCCGCGGUAAUACGGAGGGUGCGAGCGUUAAUCGGAAUUACUGGGCGUAAAGCGCGCGUAGGUGGCUUGAUAAGCCGGUUGUGAAAGCCCCGGGCUCAACCUGGGAACGGCAUCCGGAACUGUCAAGCUAGAGUGCAGGAGAGGAAGGUAGAAUUCCCGGUGUAGCGGUGAAAUGCGUAGAGAUCGGGAGGAAUACCAGUGGCGAAGGCGGCCUUCUGGACUGACACUGACGCUGAGGUGCGAAAGCGUGGGUAGCAAACAGGAUUAGAUACCCUAGUAGUC